rnacentral:rRNA from 1 species
GACGAAGGGGCUAGCGUUGUUCGGAAUUACUGGGCGUAAAGCGCGUGUAGGCGGUUGUUCAAGUCAGGUGUGAAAGCCUUGAGCUCAACUCAAGAAAUGCACUUGAUACUGGAUGACUAGAGGACCGGAGAGGAUAGUGGAAUUCCCAGUGUAGUGGUGAAAUACGUAGAGAUUGGGAAGAACACCAGUGGCGAAGGCGGCUAUCUGGACGGUUUCUGACGCUAAGACGCGAAAGCGUGGGAGCAAACAGG